AAUGUGUCAUGGUGGGUGAUAGCCGGGUUACCCACAUGCAAGAACACACCAAGAGAAGCGAUAUGAAACAACAAUAAUAUUUAUUUUGGUGAAAGGAAGAGGGGUCAGGGGAAAUAGUUCUGGAACCUGGGACUGGAGGAAACUGGUCAUCAGACUGUAUAUGAGAAAAAGCGGAGUGAGACACGGGAUGGGUCAAAUGGAAUAAUUCUGAGAAUCUUUCGUAGGACGCUUACUUGAAUGCGGAGGUUAGUAUUGUCAAUGGUGGCGGCUGGAGAAGUGAGUUACCGUCGGAGAGCGAGCAGGUAAGCCUUGCAGCUGGAGAGCAGAGUGAGCUGACUUCCGAGCGGGGCUUCGACAGUUAGCUCCCGGAACAUGAAACGCUGGCAGGCUCAGCCGGUGGCGAGGCACAGAGGAUCCAUGGGGAGGGACCAGGGAGGUAAGUGCACGGAGGAAGGCAACCGAUUGGUAAUACCAAUGGCGUCGUGAGGAACACAAGGAAAUCCAGGGGGGAGCGCUUGUCCACAUCCAGGAGUCACAGGGCGAUCACAAGGAAAUCUGACGGGGAGAACACAAGGAGCGAUCAGAACACAGGGAGCGAUCAUAGAAGGCUUCUUCCUAAGAAAAACGUCUACCAGUGAAGGCAACACUCAGGCACUGGAGUGUCAGCUAGGCUGUCCUUAUGAAGCACCUCCGCAGCUCUCGAAAAUUAGACACAGGUGCGUCUACAGGUUGGCCGCCACACUUCUCCACGGGCUCCGCUCACUGGUGACAUCUGAUGGCUGUUAAAGGAAACGCAGCUUCCCAGAAA